rnacentral:rRNA from 1 species
AUUGAACGCUAGCGGCAUGCCUAACACAUGCAAGUCGAGCGGAGCGGCGGACGGGUGAGUGUUGCCUAGAAAUCUGCAUGGUAGUGGGGGAUAACGUCCGGAAACGGGCGCUAAUACCGCAUACUCUCAGAUGAGCAUCGGGCGGAUUAGCUAGUUGGUGGGGUAAAGGCCUACAAAGGCGAAGAUCCGUAACUGGUGUGAGAGGAUGAGCAGUCACACUGGAACUGAGACACGGUCCAGACUCCUACGGGAGGCAGCAGUGGGGAAUAUUGGACAAUGGGCGAAAGCCGUAUCCAGCCAUGCCGCGUGUGUGAAGAAGGUUUUCGGAUGGUAAAGCACUUUAAGUUGGGAGGCGUUACCAAAAGAAUAAGCACCGGCUAACUUCGUGCCAGCAGCCGCGGUAAUAC